rnacentral:lncRNA from 1 species
AUCAAAAUUUGUAUUUUUGAUAGAUAGUGGAAGAAACAAUUCCAUAAUAACAUUCAGUUUAAAUAAGUUUGCUACAGAGUGUAUUUAUGACAAUUUGUUCAUCUUUGAUGGAAAUUCCAUCUAUUCUCCUCUACUUGCAUCUUUCAGCGGUGUCAUACAAUCGAUAGAUAAUCCAAAUAGUAAUAACGUGAUUACAGUCAAGUCUACUUCUGGUGUGGCUCUUUUGUAUUUUUAUAGUGAUAAGCGCAUUUCUGAACUUGGUUUUAAUAUA